CUAGCAUAGAAAAGAGCGUUACUGGUAUUGAUAUAAAAAGUACUCGUAUAAAUUUAUAUUAUUAAUAAAAUUAAAAAGCUCCAACCACAAAUGUCCGGUCAAAUAAAAUUGACCAAAAUAAUUAAAGGCGCCACUUAGAAAUUUUUGUUGAGCAAAUUGUUUCAAAAAAAAAAACUCCCAAAAUAAUCCGCGCACUACUGUCUACUCAUCUACUGAUACUACUGCGAACCCCAACCUCUCACUCAUCAAAUUUCCCCAAAUUGUGCGCCCCAUCUCUCAAACCUCUAAUCUAUCAAUCCCUAACUUCUACAACUCAAUUUUUGCUGAAUCUGUUGCUGAAUUUGCUGAAUCUACUAACCCUAAACAUUGAAUUUGUUUCUAAAUUAGAGAAAUUUCACAUCCUCGGGUAUGAUUAUAAUUGGAGGAGCAACUCAAGUUUCAAAAAUAGAUGUUAUAAUUCUAACUAGAGGGAAAGUUAAGUCCCUUAAUCACCUUGUCUCUUUUUCUUUGAUUAUAUUAUCGAGGGAGUUGUUUGGCUGAUGAUCAUUUGGUUCAUUUUUUAUGUUGUGGUUUAAUUAUAAGUUGUUGAGAAACUCUUUUGUUGCUAAUUAAUUGAUAAUGUUAUUCCGUCAAAUUUAGUUCUUGUUGGUUAAAGUUUGCUUACGGGGAAAAAAUUAUUUACAUAACUUAAGGUUGAGAAAAUUAAGACAUGUUGCAUUAGACACUUACCUUUUGUGUUGGUAUUUUUCUGUUAUAUGGUUCUCAUUUUUUUAUUGCUGUUUAUUGUAGGAAUGAGAACUCUUGGUGUAAUCAGCAAAAUAGAUCAAACAACCGGAAAACCUAAAGCUCUUACUCUUGCUCUUGCUCUUGCUCUUGCUGCUAUCCAAGUGUUGUGUUAUGACCAAGAAGCACUGUUGAUAUCCCAUGACUCCAUGAGUUGUGUUAACCUGUUAAACAUUGUCAAUAGAUACCAUUUUUGGAAAUGCUUUUGGUCAGCUGAAACAGAGAACCUCAAGAAUAUUAUUUGGGGUCCUCGAGACAAAUAUUUGGUUGCACAAAUACACAACCGUAUAACCAUCAAGCUUCCAAGUCCUUUCUUGCUGCUAGCGCGCUCCAUUGGUGGUGCUAUUGCUCGUUGUUUCAGUUGGUGCAAUAUAUGUUUGCUGCUAUGCUCACUGCUCGUUACCUUGUUGUUGUAAUGUGAAUUUUUUAUUUUAUUUUAUUUUAUUUAUUUAUUUUAAACAGGUGUUGCUAAUUUUUUUUUAUGGUUGUGAUGUAAACAUUAGAUUCAUUUAAUAAAUUCAAUUUCAAUAUUUUAUUUGUAUAAGUGUGUAUGUAUUUCAAUUACAAUAUUUUAUUUGUAAGCAAAAUAUUAUUACUUACAGUAAAUAUUAAAAAGUAGUCGAUUCAUUUUAGCACGUGCAAUUCAUAAGUAACAAUUUCAAGGUGUUACCUUUAAGAAAUUUGGCAACACU